rnacentral:ncRNA from 1 species
GAACGUCGCCAGGGGAGCCCUGAGCCGCCGUGACCGGCGCGCAACGGGCUGAGAGUGGGCGUGGGCCAUGGGGGCCGACGACCAGACCCUGGAACCUGAUCCGGUUCGUACCGGCGGAGGAAGUGCGACAUGAAUGCGUU